rnacentral:lncRNA from 1 species
UUUUGUUCUUGUUGUUUCCAAGUUUUGAAGUGUUCUAUUUUCACUACUGCAAUUCUUACAGAAAAGAGGCUCAAUAUUAGAAUGCAAGAAUGGUUGAUCUUAGUUGUUGCUGAUGUCAAUUUGUGUAGAUCUACCUCAAAAGUAACAAACAGAAUUUAUUUCAGCAUACACAAUAAUGGCUGAGGCUGCACCACCAGUUGUCCCUAGCGUUGAGUUGCUGGAAUGGCCAAAGAAGGAUAAGCACCGAUUCUUGCAUGCUGUGUAUCGAGUGGGCGACCUCGAUCGCACCAUCAAGUUCGAAUCCCCCUUAGGAGAAAUAUUACUCAUUUUGUUUGUGCUAAAUGUGAUAUCCUUAAAUUUCUUGAGUUCAAGUUACUUUUGCUUUUAUGUUUUAGGUUUUACACUGAAUGUUUUGGGAUGAAGCUAUUGAGGAAGAGGGACGUUCCAGAAGAAAAAUUUUCAAAUGCUUUUCUUGGGUUUGGUCCUGAAGAGUCUCACUUUGUAGUGGAAUUGACAUACAGUAUGUUGAGGCUUUUCAAUAAAGAUUUUUACGUUAUUAAUUGCUAUUUAACUUUCGAAGUUCUCGAUUUCGCAUGAUUGUUUGAUUCUCGGUUCAUUAUAUAUCACUUUCAUUGCGCGGUUCUGCGUUGGUACUUCAUAAAGUGCUUGUGAUAUACUCCUCAUCUCCCCUUCCUGCUCUCAAAAAUGCGCACACAGCUGCACAAAACACUAAUCCAAUUAUCAGAAUUCAUAUUUUCCCAUCCAAAUGAAGGAGGAUAUCCAAUAAAUGGAAUUCAUAAUUUAUAUUCGAGAGGAAUGGACAACACUAGAAAUGGCAAAUGUAUUGAUUAAGAGCUUGUUUGGGAAGGAUUUUUGCUAGUGAAAAAUGGUAUUUUUACAGAAUAUGUGGUUAAAAACGAAGGCAAAGUUAUGGGUCCCAUGGAAUGUGUGGUUAAAAUGAUUUUCAAAAAUUAUCUCCUGAACAAGUUCUCAACAAACUGGAAUCAAUCUAAAGAAUUAUUUCUUUAAUAUUGAUACAUCAUAAUUCUUGUUUGAUUCUCUCUGAUACUAUUCCCAGACUAUGGAGUUGAUAAAUAUGACAUUGGAACUGGAUUUGGACAUUUUGCAAUCGCAACUCAAGAUGUAAGUGUUUAUCUUGUUUGCUUUUUCUUUGUGCCGAUGAUCGAAGUGCUUAUCUAUAGGCCAUAUUAUGGUGCCUUGCAUAGUUUAGUUUGCCUGACAUUUUCUGUUUCCAUCCGUUAGGUUUAUAAACUGGUUGAAGACAUAAAGUCCAAGGGUGGAACUGUCACUCGAGAGCCAGGUCCAGUUAAAGGUGGAUCAUCUGUGAUUGCAUUUGUUAAGGAUCCUGAUGGCUACCUUUUCGAACUAAUUCAACGCGGUCCAACUCCUGAACCACUCUGUCAAGUGAUGCUUCGUGUGGGUGACCUUGAACGUUCUAUCAAAUUUUAUGAAAAGGUGAACUAUUCUUCGUUUUAAAUUCGUGUAAGUUUGGUUUAGGUUUUGAAGCUACCUCUUCAAUUGAUCUAUUUCUGGAGGUCUUAUCUCUGCUCUUCCCAUGUGCAUAAAUAAACGAAAUACCUGCUAUGUGCGUCUCCAAGAAUUAGUGCAUCUAUCAGCCAUUGUGGAUGUCAUGAUAAGACAAAAAUGUUGAAGUCUGUAGAAAAUUGGUUUUUUGAUUACCAGAAGAAUGAAUGUUAUAAGAAAGUUCCACUUUAAUCCUUCAAAAAUAAUGGUAUCAACAGUCUUCUCUUCUGUAACCUUCGACUUCCAUAUAGAUGCUGCAGUGUAAUAUUAAUGUGCAGUCUGGAGCGAUUGGUUCUCUGAAAAUAUGCUGAUAUUUAUCGCUCUUUAUUCACACAGGCAUUGGGGAUGAAACUCUUGAAGAAAACUGACAGACCAGAACAAAAGGUAUCACCAAAUGCAACCACUUUUUCUUUGGACUUCAACCUUUUAUUUUCCUUGGGAAUUUGCUAAUGCAGUGACAACAAACGUUGUUGUACUGUGCAGUACACCAUAGCAAUGAUGGGAUAUGCUGAUGAAUAUAAGACAACUGUCCUUGAGUUGACAUACAAUUAUGGUGUGACUGAAUAUACCAAAGGAAAUGCGUAUGCACAGGUUUGUUAUAUGCUUGUGAAAAUUCUUCAGUUUUUAUCAUUCAACUCUGGCCUCAUGGUGGAUGUAAUAAUAUUUCUAGGUUGCAAUCAGUACUGAGGAUGUAUAUAAAAGUGCCGAGGUUGUGAAUCUUGUAACCCAAGAGCUUGGAGGAAAGAUAACUCGGCAACCAGGACCACUUCCUGGACUGAACACUAAGAUCACUUCUUUCCUAGAUCCAGAUGGUUGGAAAACAGUAAGUUCUCACUUCUCAGGGAUUCAUACUGUACCUUGGAUUUUGACAUUAAUAUUAAUGUUACUAUUGCAUUCUCUCUUCAGAGUUUCGCUUUUCGACUGCAAUUAGUAGUAUUUGAGUACCUCUUCUCCACCCCUCGUGAGCUCGCCACCGUUUGCCCCCAUUAAUUUUUAUUACAUUUUCCUCUCACAUGUUUUCAACCACACAAUCAUACAUAAAAUAAUAUUACACGUAAGUAAAAAACUUUUCCUUUUUUAACCACUUAUUUAAAAAAAAAAACACUAUUCCACCCAUUUCAUUUCCAAAUAAAUGGGGGCCAAACAGGGGAUAUAAGAUUAUGUGCUUCAUUUUUUGUAGGCUAUAUAUGAAAUGAGACAAUUUAUCCAUACUGGUUGCACUGUGACUUGUUCUGAACAUUGGUUAGCCCAUAGUGAUAGCUUCAUCUUGAUGUAAGCUCGUUUCACCGUUUCUGUUGUAUUUAGGUUCUGGUCGAUCACGCAGAUUUUCUGAAGGAAUUGGAGAUCAAAGAGUAAUGAGCACGGUUGUGAUUAAGGGACUGGAUUUCAAAUCUGGGGUUAAUAGUUUAGCUAUGGUAAAUAAAUAACCCCGGACGAGUAGUAUUUGCCAGUAUUGAGUUUUAAUCCAAGUCAGAAUGCAGUGUUAACCAUGUUUUGAGUACACAGCGAGCUUUUCUCUGAUGUAUUUUACUGCAUUAUCUUAUGAGUACUUUUCAAACUUUUCUCUGAGAUCUAAUCCAGUCAGAAUGAACUGUGUUUAUGUUUAUAUUUCAAGAUUUUUCAUGGCAAAGAAUAACCGUAAAAAAUUCCACAAUACAAAGGCGUUCUUGAGGAAUUCAUUACGCAAAUUAAAUCUUUUCACACGUUUAGAAAAUGUAUGGUAGAUAAAUAAAAUUCUGCGAUCAUAGAUGCAAGUUUUUGGGAAUAUUGGUCUACAUUUGUAUACAAGUUAAUAAGGCCUCCUAAAGAUACAUGAAACAGAAGAUAACACCCUGUUGUUGGAGAAAGAUGU